rnacentral:rRNA from 1 species
GGGAUUGCCCUAGUAACGGCGAGUGAAGCGGCAAUAGCUCAAAUUUGAAAUCUGGCUUCCUUGGAAGUCCGAGUUGUAAUUUGCAGAGGGCGCUUUGGCGUCGGUAGCGGUCUAAGUUCCUUGGAACAGGACGUCACAGAGGGUGAGAAUCCCGUACGUGGUCGACUACCUUCACCGUGUAAAGCCCCUUCGACGAGUCGAGUUGUUUGGGAAUGCAGCUCUAAAUGGGAGGUAAAUUUCUUCUAAAGCUAAAUACUGGCCAGAGACCGAUAGCGCACAAGUAGAGUGAUCGAAAGAUGAAAAGCACUUUGGAAAGAGAGUCAAACAGCACGUGAAAUUGUUGAAAGGGAAGCGCUUGCCGCCAGACGUGCCCGUGGUGGUUCUCCUCCGCGGGCAGGCCAGCAUCAGUUUGGGCGAUCGGAUAAAGGCCUCUGUCAUGUAUCUCCCUUCGGGGUGACCUUAUAGGGGAGGCGUAAUGCGAUCAGCCCGGACUGAGGUCCGCGCAUCUGCUAGGAUGCUGGCGUAAUGGCUGUAAGCGGCCCGUCUUGAAACACGGACCAAGGAGUCUAACAUCUAUGCGAGUGUUUGGGUGUCAAGCCCGAGCGCGUAAUGAAAGUGAACGGAGGUGGGAACCCUUUGGGUGCACCAUCGACCGAUCCUGAAGUCUUCGGAUGGAUUUGAGUAAGAGCAUGGCUGUUGGGACCCGAAAGAUGGUGAACUAUGCUUGAAUAGGGUGAAGCCAGAGGAAACUCUGGUGGAGGCUCGCAGCGGUUCUGACGUGCAAAUCGAUCGUCAAAUUUGGGCAUAGGGGCGAAAGACUAAUCGAACUAUCUA